rnacentral:lncRNA from 1 species
AAACACAUUCUCUGAGACUCUUCCUGUGUGCCUGUGUGUCUGUCUCUCUGUGCAUCUCUGUCUCUGUCUCUGUCUCUGUCUCUGUCUCUGACUCCCUCUCUCUGUCAGGAAUAUUGCAGCAUGACUGGGAAGCCUGUCCUUCAUUACUUCAAUUGAAGAAGAAGAAUGGAGUCCAUCCGGUGGCUCCUGGCAGCAGCUGGAGUAGAGUUUGAGGAAGAACUUUUUGAAACCCAUGAAGAGUUUGAGAAGUUAAUCCAAGGUGGAACCCUGAUGUACGAGCAAGUGCCCAUGGUGGAAAUCGAUGGAAUGACUUUGGUGCAGACCAGUGCCAUCUUAAGAUAUGUAGCUGCAAAAUAUGACUUGUAUGGAAGGAACCUGGAGGAACAAGCCUGGAGAUGAACCUUGAAUACAUCCUCCACCGAGCUACAACAAGAUUCUUCCCCGUUUAUGAGAAGGCCCUGAGAGACCACGGGCAAGACUUUCUUGUGGGCAAUCGGCUGAGCUUGGCUGAUGUCCAGCUCCUUGAAGUCAUCUUAAUGGCUGAAGAAUGCAAAGCCAGUGUUCUCUCGGGUUUCCCUCUGCUACAGGACUUCAAGGUGAGAACCAGCCAAAUUCCUACAAUUAACAGCUUCCUCCAACCUGGAAGCCAGAGGAAGCCUCCUUUGGAGGAGCGAUCCAUUGGGACUGCAAAGGACAUAUUCAAAUUUGAAUGAGGACUGUUUCUUAAAAACAUGAGCAAUAUAGUAGCUGAGUAUUAACAGCUACAGAGGCUGGAGUUACUCAGUAAGUAUACUGAGUAACUUGACACUGCAUUCAUAAAAAGACACUCACUAAGUAUAUGGCCAGAGAAAUAUCCUGAAGUUAGUAAUAAAUGUUAGGAAUCUUAGUAUGUUAGCAAUGUUAGAAUGUUAGUAAUGGAAAUAUUAAAUGUGUAAGAGAAAAACUACUAGAAGCUUAUCAAUAAACUACAAGAACCAACUCUUGUUUGAAGUAAGACAGGCUACCAAGACAGAAUUCAGAAAAUCCAAGGAGCCCUCGGCCUUCUGUAUGAUCCUAGAAUAAACUUGUAUGUAGCAAGUGAAA